rnacentral:rRNA from 1 species
UCAGGAUGAACGCUAGCUACAGGCUUAACACAUGCAAGUCGAGGGGCAGCAUGGUCUUAGCUUGCUAAGGCCGAUGGCGACCGGCGCACGGGUGAGUAACACGUAUCCAACCUGCCGUCUACUCUUGGACAGCCUUCUGAAAGGAAGAUUAAUACAAGAUGGCAUCAUGAGUCCGCAUGUUCACAUGAUUAAAGGUAUUCCGGUAGACGAUGGGGAUGCGUUCCAUUAGAUAGUAGGCGGGGUAACGGCCCACCUAGUCUUCGAUGGAUAGGGGUUCUGAGAGGAAGGUCCCCCACAUUGGAACUGAGACACGGUCCAAACUCCUACGGGAGGCAGCAGUGAGGAAUAUUGGUCAAUGGGCGAGAGCCUGAACCAGCCAAGUAGCGUGAAGGAUGACUGCCCUAUGGGUUGUAAACUUCUUUUAUAAAGGAAUAAAGUCGGGUAUGGAUACCCGUUUGCAUGUACUUUAUGAAUAAGGAUCGGCUAACUCCGUGCCAGCAGCCGCGGUAAUACGGAGGAUCCGAGCGUUAUCCGGAUUUAUUGGGUUUAAAGGGAGCGUAGAUGGAUGUUUAAGUCAGUUGUGAAAGUUUGCGGCUCAACCGUAAAAUUGCAGUUGAUACUGGAUAUCUUGAGUGCAGUUGAGGCAGGCGGAGUUCGUGGUGUAGCGGUGAAAUGCUUAGAUAUCACGAAGAACUCCGAUUGCGAAGGCAGCCUGCUAAGCUGCAACUGACAUUGAGGCUCGAAAGUGUGGGUAUCAAACAGGAUUAGAUACCCUGGUAGUCCACACGGUAAACGAUGAAUACUCGCUGUUUGCGAUAUACUGCAAGCGGCCAAGCGAAAGCGUUAAGUAUUCCACCUGGGGAGUACGCCGGCAACGGUGAAACUCAAAGGAAUUGACGGGGGCCCGCACAAGCGGAGGAACAUGUGGUUUAAUUCGAUGAUACGCGAGGAACCUUACCCGGGCUUAAAUUGCAGAUGAAUUACGGUGAAAGCCGUAAGCCGCAAGGCAUCUGUGAAGGUGCUGCAUGGUUGUCGUCAGCUCGUGCCGUGAGGUGUCGGCUUAAGUGUCAUAACGAGCGCAACCCUUGUUGUCAGUUACUAACAGGUUCCGCUGAGGACUCUGACAAGACUGCCAUCGUAAGAUGUGAGGAAGGUGGGGAUGACGUCAAAUCAGCACGGCCCUUACGUCCGGGGCUACACACGUGUUACAAUGGGGGGUACAGAGGGCCGCUACCACGCGAGUGGAUGCCAAUCCCCAAAACCUCUCUCAGUUCGGACUGGAGUCUGCAACCCGACUCCACGAAGCUGGAUUCGCUAGUAAUCGCGCAUCAGCCACGGCGCGGUGAAUACGUUCCCGGGCCUUGUACACACCGCCCGUCAAGCCAUGGGAGCCGGGGGUACCUGAAGUGCGUAACCGCGAGGAGCGCCCUAGGGUA